UUAAGCGACUAAGCGUACACGGUGGAUGCCCUGGCAGUCAGAGGCGAUGAAGGACGUGCUAAUCUGCGAUAAGCGUCGGUAAGGUGAUAUGAACCGUUAUAACCGGCGAUUUCCGAAUGGGGAAACCCAGUGUGUUUCGACACACUAUCAUUAACUGAAUCCAUAGGUUAAUGAGGCGAACCGGGGGAACUGAAACAUCUAAGUACCCCGAGGAAAAGAAAUCAACCGAGAUUCCCCCAGUAGCGGCGAGCGAACGGGGAGCAGCCCAGAGCCUGAAUCAGUGUGUGUGUUAGUGGAAGCGUCUGGAAAGGCGCGCGAUACAGGGUGACAGCCCCGUACACAAAAAUGCACAUGCUGUGAGCUCGAUGAGUAGGGCGGGACACGUGGUAUCCUGUCUGAAUAUGGGGGGACCAUCCUCCAAGGCUAAAUACUCCUGACUGACCGAUAGUGAACCAGUACCGUGAGGGAAAGGCGAAAAGAACCCCGGCGAGGGGAGUGAAAAAGAACCUGAAACCGUGUACGUACAAGCAGUGGGAGCACGCUUAGGCGUGUGACUGCGUACCUUUUGUAUAAUGGGUCAGCGACUUAUAUUCUGUAGCAAGGUUAACCGAAUAGGGGAGCCGAAGGGAAACCGAGUCUUAACUGGGCGUUAAGUUGCAGGGUAUAGACCCGAAACCCGGUGAUCUAGCCAUGGGCAGGUUGAAGGUUGGGUAACACUAACUGGAGGACCGAACCGACUAAUGUUGAAAAAUUAGCGGAUGACUUGUGGCUGGGGGUGAAAGGCCAAUCAAACCGGGAGAUAGCUGGUUCUCCCCGAAAGCUAUUUAGGUAGCGCCUCGUGAAUUCAUCUCCGGGGGUAGAGCACUGUUUCGGCAAGGGGGUCAUCCCGACUUACCAACCCGAUGCAAACUGCGAAUACCGGAGAAUGUUAUCACGGGAGACACACGGCGGGUGCUAACGUCCGUCGUGAAGAGGGAAACAACCCAGACCGCCAGCUAAGGUCCCAAAGUCAUGGUUAAGUGGGAAACGAUGUGGGAAGGCCCAGACAGCCAGGAUGUUGGCUUAGAAGCAGCCAUCAUUUAAAGAAAGCGUAAUAGCUCACUGGUCGAGUCGGCCUGCGCGGAAGAUGUAACGGGGCUAAACCAUGCACCGAAGCUGCGGCAGCGACGCUUAUGCGUUGUUGGGUAGGGGAGCGUUCUGUAAGCCUGUGAAGGUGUGCUGUGAGGCAUGCUGGAGGUAUCAGAAGUGCGAAUGCUGACAUAAGUAACGAUAAAGCGGGUGAAAAGCCCGCUCGCCGGAAGACCAAGGGUUCCUGUCCAACGUUAAUCGGGGCAGGGUGAGUCGACCCCUAAGGCGAGGCCGAAAGGCGUAGUCGAUGGGAAACAGGUUAAUAUUCCUGUACUUGGUGUUACUGCGAAGGGGGGACGGAGAAGGCUAUGUUGGCCGGGCGACGGUUGUCCCGGUUUAAGCGUGUAGGCUGGUUUUCCAGGCAAAUCCGGAAAAUCAAGGCUGAGGCGUGAUGACGAGGCACUACGGUGCUGAAGCAACAAAUGCCCUGCUUCCAGGAAAAGCCUCUAAGCACCAGGUAACAUCAAAUCGUACCCCAAACCGACACAGGUGGUCAGGUAGAGAAUACCAAGGCGCUUGAGAGAACUCGGGUGAAGGAACUAGGCAAAAUGGUGCCGUAACUUCGGGAGAAGGCACGCUGAUAUGUAGGUGAAGUCCCUUGCGGAUGGAGCUGAAAUCAGUCGAAGAUACCAGCUGGCUGCAACUGUUUAUUAAAAACACAGCACUGUGCAAACACGAAAGUGGACGUAUACGGUGUGACGCCUGCCCGGUGCCGGAAGGUUAAUUGAUGGGGUUAGCGCAAGCGAAGCUCUUGAUCGAAGCCCCGGUAAACGGCGGCCGUAACUAUAACGGUCCUAAGGUAGCGAAAUUCCUUGUCGGGUAAGUUCCGACCUGCACGAAUGGCGUAAUGAUGGCCAGGCUGUCUCCACCCGAGACUCAGUGAAAUUGAACUCGCUGUGAAGAUGCAGUGUACCCGCGGCAAGACGGAAAGACCCCGUGAACCUUUACUAUAGCUUGACACUGAACAUUGAGCCUUGAUGUGUAGGAUAGGUGGGAGGCUUAGAAGUGUGGACGCCAGUCUGCAUGGAGCCGACCUUGAAAUACCACCCUUUAAUGUUUGAUGUUCUAACGUUGACCCGUAAUCCGGGUUGCGGACAGUGUCUGGUGGGUAGUUUGACUGGGGCGGUCUCCUCCUAAAGAGUAACGGAGGAGCACGAAGGUUGGCUAAUCCUGGUCGGACAUCAGGAGGUUAGUGCAAUGGCAUAAGCCAGCUUGACUGCGAGCGUGACGGCGCGAGCAGGUGCGAAAGCAGGUCAUAGUGAUCCGGUGGUUCUGAAUGGAAGGGCCAUCGCUCAACGGAUAAAAGGUACUCCGGGGAUAACAGGCUGAUACCGCCCAAGAGUUCAUAUCGACGGCGGUGUUUGGCACCUCGAUGUCGGCUCAUCACAUCCUGGGGCUGAAGUAGGUCCCAAGGGUAUGGCUGUUCGCCAUUUAAAGUGGUACGCGAGCUGGGUUUAGAACGUCGUGAGACAGUUCGGUCCCUAUCUGCCGUGGGCGCUGGAGAACUGAGGGGGGCUGCUCCUAGUACGAGAGGACCGGAGUGGACGCAUCACUGGUGUUCGGGUUGUCAUGCCAAUGGCACUGCCCGGUAGCUAAAUGCGGAAGAGAUAAGUGCUGAAAGCAUCUAAGCACGAAACUUGCCCCGAGAUGAGUUCUCCCUGACCCUUUAAGGGUCCUGAAGGAACGUUGAAGACGACGACGUUGAUAGGCCGGGUGUGUAAGCGCAGCGAUGCGUUGAGCUAACCGGUACUAAUGAACCGUGAGGCUUAACCUU
rnacentral:rRNA from 1 species